rnacentral:lncRNA from 1 species
GGGAAAGCACCUGGACGACGAAAAGAGUCAUACUAUUUUGAAUUUCAGAGCUUUCCCUUUUUCAGAGCACCUCACCCUCUUGGGCUUGUUUGGUCCUCCUAACAAGCCUCUAAGACAAGCAGGAAAGGGGCCUUUGGUGGCCAGCACCCCGAGAAGGAGCUCGACACCGUGGUAGGAUUGAAGGGAGCAGGUUUGGUUGUCCGAUCCCAGGCUGCACACGUGAGCUUAGGUUGUGUAACUCAAAACAAAUGUACAGAUUACACAGAUUUUUUUUUUAAAAUUUUAAUUUACAGUGGGUUGUGUUUCUGAAGGAAAACAGCACUCUGCACUUGUUCUAUUGGGUUGCAUACCAGGUUCCUAAUCCUCCAGGCGGGAUUCUCUGGGGACAUUCCUUCCUCGGAGGCUCCAGUGACCUACAGAGUUGGUAAAUAUGCCUUCAGUGUCUUUCUGCAAGUUAUUUAAAAAUGGCAGCCAGGACAGGGCCCUGUGGGUCUCCACGAGACUCAUUCCUCCCUCCUACCAGGCACAGACAGCAUGACACCCUUCCCUUGGGGGUCUUCAACCUUUUCCCACGUAGAGUAGUAGCAGAGAGGGCUGUCAAACCACACCUCCAGGGGACAGCAACUGCUUAUUGGUCUGACCAGCUGAGACCUCAUGGUGGCCCCAGCAACCAGGGCCGUCUCCAGGGCUGACGUGGGAGUAAGGGUGGCAGGAUGGAUCUGAUGCCACCAGCUGACCCCUGAGGAUGGCUGUCCUGCCCGUGUGACCCCUCCUAGCCACACCAUCAUCGGGGCCAUCGUGUGCACCCACACACAUACAGGACACGAGAGGUUGUCAAAUGCUCUACUGAAAGCAAGCCACCCUUUCUGGGGCAUUCCCCCACUCGGCUGUGCUGGGGAGGCUCGUCAAAACAGGAAAUGAGGUUAGCAUGGAAUGACUUUCUCUCAGAGAACUUGGUUGCCUCCUAGAGACCACCGCUAGCUUCCCAAAAGGCCGUGGGCCUUGCUCCGAGCCUCCCCUGGGCUUUCCUGGCCAGGCGAGGGCAUCUGCUCCUCUGCGAUGCUCGGGGCGGCUCCUUGGGAAAACAGUGGGAGGUCUCCUGGCUCCAGCCCCCGGCCCCCUCCCUGGCAGGCCAGCGUCCCUGAGCCGUGGGCCUGUGGGCCUGAAGUGAGACGGCACAUUCUCCAGCCACAGCUGGGUGCACGCACCCGGCGCCAGGCUCACGCCUGGGCUCCCGGGUUUCAGGUGGCUCCUUCCCUCAGGGAGUUGAUGGAUCCAGCACGUUCCCACGUUAUCAGGGAGGUGGUAAGAGAAGGCUGAGCCAGGGAGGUGACGCUUCGUGGGAGCCACCCACUGUCCUUCCGGCUCCACAGACGACCUUUGGCUCAGAAUGUGCCAAGAGGGGAGUAACCGGGCCUGGUGGCAUUCGAGUGAGCCCCACACGGUGCCCUAGCCAUGGAAAGAGCGGCAUCAUCUCCCCCCUGCGGGGGCCUUCCCACCAGCAGCCCUGAGUGCUGAAGUGCUUCGAGCCACACUUCCCUUCAUGGGGGAGAAAGGAGUCAACCUGAGGGAAGCUCUGGCCUGACCUCGACACUGGGCUGGACACUUGUCUCCAAGCACCAGGCUCAGUGGACUUUUUGGAAAUGCA